UUUUCGUCUCUCUCCCCACCCCUCCUCUGCCUUUCCCCAUCGUCUACACCUCAUCACAAUCACAGAGAGCGAGAAGGGGAGAGAGUGUGAGAGGGGAAGAGAGAGAGAGAGGGAAGGAGACGGGGGGCUAGGGUUUCGUGCUCACCCACGCCACACGCAUCGAAUCCGAGCCGGAUCCGGGGGGUGCGCCGAGUCGCCGGCGGCCCGGCGGUGCCUGGGCUGUGAUUCCCUUGCAAUGGCAUCUGAAACUGAUGACAAAGCUAAGAUGGAGAGUUUGACAUCUGCUGCAGCCUUUGUGGAGGGUGGCAUUCAGGACGCAUGUGAUGAUGCAUGCAGCAUUUGCCUUGAGGCUUUCUGUGAGAGUGACCCUUCUGCAUUGACUGGCUGCAAACAUGAGUUCCAUCUCCAAUGCAUUCUUGAAUGGUGUCAGAGAAGUUCACAAUGCCCAAUGUGUUGGCAGUCUAUUAGCAUGAAGGAUCCUACCAGUCAGGAGCUUCUUGAGGCAGUAGAGCGUGAGAGGAAUAUAAGAACCAAUCAAACUCGAAACACGACUAUAUUUCAUCAUCCUGCUCUUGGGGAUUUUGAGCUGCAGCAUCUGCCUGUUGGUAAUGAUGCUGAGCUUGAAGAGCGUAUAUUACAGCAUCUAGCUGCUGCUGCUGCAAUGGGAAGGGCACACCAUCUUGGAAGGAGGGAGGGGCACAGGGGACGAUCUGGCUCUCAUGGUCGUCCACAGUUCCUAGUUUUCUCUACACAUCCAAAUUCACCAUCUGCUGGCACAAUUUCUUCAUCUUCUGCUCAUGUGGAGGGAGAAAAUGAUUCAAAUCCUGCCACCCCUAGAGCUAGUGAGUCAUCUCCACGAGCUAUUCGCAUUGGAGAUGCGGGAAACCAAAGUCCCGGGAUGCUUACCUACGAUGCUGAACAGGAUGCUGUCGUAUCUUCCGGAAAUAGCACUCCUGUAUCGAGUCCUCGGUUUUUUAACAGGAGACACUCCACUGGACAGUCAACUCCAGACAGGGCUGGACCAUCGGAUAUUCAGUCUUUCUCAGACUCCCUGAAGUCUCGCUUAAAUGCUGUCUCUAUGAAGUACAAAGAAUCUAUUACAAAGAGUACUCGAGGGUGGAAGGAGAGACUCUUUUCACGCAAUUCGUCCGUGGCGGAUCUUGGUUCUGAAGUGAGAAGAGAAGUUAAUGCUGGAAUCGCGUCCGUGUCACGGAUGAUGGAGCGUCUGGAAACUAGAGGAAAUAGCAGAACAGGUGAUAGCCCGACAGCAUCCACUUCUGAAGUUCCUCCCGCUACAGAAUCAAGCAAUGAAAGGGUUACAGAGAGCAACUCUGCUGCUGCUGCUGCUGCUGCUGGUACUACUACCACUACAAGUCCCAGUGCUAGCAACACCGCAGCCCCUUGUGUUGCGACAUCCGGAUCAAACUAGGACAAGUAAGGGUCUCAGAAAGAUUCGGCUUACACAUGCCGAUUCUUCAUCUUCAAAGGUUGGUCAGUCUGGCGGCAGAGCAGAAGUGCAGAUGCUGUCAUUUUUCCUCAUCCACUGCAUAAACGGCCGGCUGCAAGUAAAACUGGAAUGGUGAUUUGAUGUAUUGGCUCGAUAAAAAAGGUGGCGGUGCGUGUGGCCUAGGGAAAGUCCGAUUUCAUCUUCUCUGUUUUUUGUCUCUUUGUAAAAAAGUUUCUUCUGAGGGCAGAUGUUUACCGGUAUAAAUAACGGAUAUGUCAUCUUCAUAGUACGCGGAUCAGUUAUAAAUAUGAUUGGAACAGCAAAGUUUACUGCUGUUAUACAGUUAUUAUACUGUGGCGCGAUUUCUUGUU